UGAUCCUGGCUCAGAUUGAACGCUGGCGGCAGGCCUAACACAUGCAAGUCGAGCGGAUGAGGGGAGCUUGCUCCUUGAUUUAGCGGCGGACGGGUGAGUAAUGCCUAGGAAUCUGCCUGGUAGUGGGGGAUAACGUUCCGAAAGGAACGCUAAUACCGCAUACGUCCUACGGGAGAAAGCAGGGGACCUUCGGGCCUUGCGCUAUCAGAUGAGCCUAGGUCGGAUUAGCUAGUUGGUGAGGUAAUGGCUCACCAAGGCGACGAUCCGUAACUGGUCUGAGAGGAUGAUCAGUCACACUGGAACUGAGACACGGUCCAGACUCCUACGGGAGGCAGCAGUGGGGAAUAUUGGACAAUGGGCGAAAGCCUGAUCCAGCCAUGCCGCGUGUGUGAAGAAGGUCUUCGGAUUGUAAAGCACUUUAAGUUGGGAGGAAGGGCAUUAACCUAAUACGUUAGUGUUUUGACGUUACCGACAGAAUAAGCACCGGCUAACUUCGUGCCAGCAGCCGCGGUAAUACGAAGGGUGCAAGCGUUAAUCGGAAUUACUGGGCGUAAAGCGCGCGUAGGUGGUUCGUUAAGUUGGAUGUGAAAGCCCCGGGCUCAACCUGGGAACUGCAUCCAAAACUGGCGAGCUAGAGUACGGUAGAGGGUGGUGGAAUUUCCUGUGUAGCGGUGAAAUGCGUAGAUAUAGGAAGGAACACCAGUGGCGAAGGCGACCACCUGGACUGAUACUGACACUGAGGUGCGAAAGCGUGGGGAGCAAACAGGAUUAGAUACCCUGGUAGU
rnacentral:rRNA from 1 species